UAAAUUUGCACCACGUAUUUUAAAAAAAUACAUAACAAUCAUUUAAAGCAAUAUUGGAAUG
rnacentral:ncRNA from 1 species